ACGGAAUAGAUACCCCGGUAGUCCACGCUGUAAACGAUGAUUACUCGAUGUUGGCGAUACACAGUCAGCGUCUGAGCGAAAGCAAUAAGUAAUCCACCUGGGGAGUACGAUCGCAAGAUUGAAACUCAAAGGAAUUGACGGGGGCCCGCACAAGCGGAGGGGCAUGUGGUUUAAUUCGAUGAUACGCGAGGAACCUUACCUGGGCUCGAACGUAAGAUGACUGUAGGUGAAAGCUUACAUCUCUUCGGAGCAUUUUACGAGGUGCUGCAUGGUUGUCGUCAGCUCGUGCCGUGAGGUGUCGGGUUAAGUCCCAUAACGAGCGCAACCCCUACCUUUAGUUGCCAACAGGUCAUGCUGGGGACUCUAAAGGAACUGCCUACGCAAGUAGUGAGGAAGGCGGGGAUGACGUCAAAUCAGCACGGCCCUUACGUCCAGGGCUACACACGUGCUACAAUGGCCGAUACAGAGGGCAGCUACCUGGUGACAGGAUGCAAAUCUCCAAAGUCGGUCUCAGUUCGGAUCGGA
rnacentral:rRNA from 1 species